UUACACGAGUAUUUACAGAGUGCAUAAAUAAGUAAGCAUAAUAACACAGAGUAUAUUUUUAUCAAGUUUAUUUAUUAGGCUUCUCUCCAAACUAAGAACAACCAGUAAAGCAAAGUAAUUCUAUUCCUCCAGUUGUACAUGCAAGAUUUCUUAUUUUCAUUUCACGACAUUACGUAUUAUCAAGUUCGUCAACAAUUUUAGCAGCAAAGCAAACUCAUGAUUCUGAUUCUGUGAGCUUUUCAUGAAGAAGUGGAAGCUCCACAUCACCUCAUAUUCACUCACUCACUCACAGUGGGACCGUGUCAAAUAGACGUAAUUUAAUUAAACCUACAUGGAAACAUUUGUUAUAGUUACCAAAUCAUUCAAGUAGCAACCAACCCGGGAUUCAAUUUCGUCGAUAAUAUGUUCCUCGUCGACUUUGAAGAAGAAAGGUAUCCAAACCAACGAGGAGGAGAGCCACGAAACUCAUGAAACUGAUGUGUGUGUGGCCAUGAUUUCUAUUUCAUGAGAUCCAGUUCAGUUUAGUUGAGGAAAAGUGUAGUAGUAUGAAGGUUUUAGUCCGUGUCAAAAAGUGAGUUGUACACGUAUCGAGACGCCGAUUUAUUUGCGUAGCUCAAUUUGCUUGGUGGUAGUGUGUAGCUUAGUUAAAAAGCAAACUGUGCUCGAAAUUGCGACAAGCAAAGUGUUAACAGAAGGAGAAACAAGUCAUAAAAAUAUCCACAAAUAAAUACGUUCGAACGGGCACGGACGAGAACAAGCGUGAAACAAUUGGUUUGGUGGAUGUGGGAGCGGCUGUGAGUUUGAAAGGAAAGCAAAGUCUUCAAGGUUGGGACAACUUGGGACAAUAAGUAAUACACGGCAGAAAUAUGGCGUUCCUCCUCUUCCGUCCGUCUUUUUGGCUUGUGUUUGGGUGGAUAUUUGUGUGGACGUAUUACGUGGAUGCUGGAAUGGUGGUUGAUUCCGUGGAUAAAGAGUUUCACGCCAGAACCAUCAGAAAUGCCAGUAGAAGCACUACAACGGAGAAAUGGAAUGACAAAGACCCGACACUGCCAAGCUCGAGUCCUCCCAUAUUUCCUACUGCAAAAGUGACCUGGCUUAGCAAAUUUCAAUUGCUGACCAUCAUGUUGAUCUCUGGAACUGCUGUGCCACUGGCGUUCUCAUCGUAAAUUCAGCCAGGCAGAAGAGAAUGCUAGUUAGUUAGUAGUGGUAUUUAAUUAUUUGUACAUAAUUAUCUGUAGCAAGUACCACACACGACGUGAUUGAUUGUACGUUCCUUACGUUAGUUCCGUUCGUCAUAAAAAAACGAGUCAUAUUAAUCAUUAUUGUUAUACUUAUUUAAUUAAGUGAUUCAUGCUCACUUGUUCGACUUGGAGAAAUAAUAUUUGCGAUGUUUAUUUAGUUUUCACAAUUUGUUGUACUUAUACUUUUCUGAUCUGAUGCAGCUGAGAAUUACAAAGCUAGACCUUAAUUUAUCUCGAAGGUUGGUAUUUAAGUACAGUAUUUUUCAAAUAAUCAAGUAAGAGUAGAGUUAAAAUGUAGCCUCCCUAAAAACAAACUUUAUUUAGUAUCUAUUUCCUCAAAUUGUUCCCUUUAAACAACAUUUUUACAUUGAAUGAUGGUAAUUAAUUUGUCAUUUAUUCAACUUGAAUCCAACUUUAUUGUGCCAAGUGUUAAGUAAAUUAGAAUAGAAAUUAUUCGUAAUUCGUAUCGAUCCAUGACUAAAAUAUACUUUAUUGCCCAAUAUCAAGGGUUAAAUAAUCUACUUUGUUGUGCUGUCUGUUAUGAAAAAUGUUAGAGUUUUUGGUACCCUUUAACUACUAAAUACCUACUUAUUUCUUGGAGCCCAGACUGAUUUUUAUACUCAAGUUAUCAAGUUCUAUAUUAUUAUUCUGUACUAAACAGCUAAGGAGUUUUUGCCCUGAACAAUCUGAUAUUUGUUAAUUUUCUGUAAUGUUUCAUAUUACACGAUAAAGCCAUUUUCUCUUCAACUUCCAAUCGGCAGCCAGUCUCAACUCAACUGCUGCCCGACUGGAGUUGUAGAAAAACGUAAAACGAAACCACUUUAAGUGGAAUAGUAUUUACUUUACAUGCAUAAUAAAAAGCACCAAAAUGGUAAUAUUAUAUUAUUUAUUUGCAUUAGUACAAUAUUGGUGGUGCGGUGCCAAAAAAAUGGUGUGAUUUUUUUAUUAUCAAUUUUAAUCGAAUGAAUAAGAAACUUGUUAGGAUAUGAAUUUGAGAAUAAAUGGAAAUAAAGGUAUUCAGUUAUAUGUUUGUAAUAAGAGGUGGUGGGUUUUGAUUGAUUGAAUUAUUUUGUACUGUAAAGUUUUUGCCAGUCUAAAAGUCGAAAGAAAUGAGGCAAGUGUAUGAAGUGGUACGAAUCGAGCUGAAGCAAUUCCUGGUAUAAUAUUAUUACUUGAUUUAAAAUAAAUUGACAACCCAAACAAAAACACAUUCCUUCCAAUACUUUGAACCAUUUUGUUUACCGGAACUCAGAACUGAAAUCAAAAUAUUCUUUAUCCAGAACGUUCUUCGGUAGAGGAGUAGUCAAAAUCAGACCUACAUUCAUUCUUAUCCAUCGAUAUUGUUAAUUAUCCUCCACACAAAUCUCGACCGAAUUUAUUACCUGAUUGAAAUAGAAAAAUGACUUUGCGUCUCAUAUUUUGCCCCAUUCUUGCAAUUAUUUUUGCUCAGACGUCCGCUUUUCCCAGUCGAAUGGACACUUCUGUGACCGACUUCAACGACGGUCUUGCUGAUUACGAAGGGGGCGAAGGGAAUGCAAUGGAAACCCGUCUUGAGAAUCCCAGUCCGAAUAACUGUUCCCAGAAUAUCGUAACAAAUGAUGGACUUUCUCCUCCAGAAAUCAUACCUAACUGUAACAGCCCAAAAGAUGUCGAUUCCACUAAAGGAGACUUGGCUUAUUCUGGAGUACAUUUCGUCGUUUGUGGCAUCGUUCUUGUAUUCUUUGUGGUUUUAUUCUCCAUGAUUUUCACACAAUUCUGCAUGGUUUCAUGUAGUAAGACAAAUUGUGGUGAACAACGGAAUAAAAUUCCAUUAAAGAAGAAGACCAACAAUUUCAAGAACUUUCCUUCGUCCAAUUUUGAUUCUGACGGUAAUA